UCACGUGCCAUGUUGAAGAAAGCACGUUGGACUUCUAGUCCAAAGAUCCUGGGUUCGAAUCCCAGCUGAAGAG